rnacentral:ncRNA from 1 species
UGAAAGUUUGAUUCUUUCUUCUGCCUUUAUAAUUAUUAUUGAGAUUGCAUGAAAGUUGUUAGUAAGUAAAAAAAAGAAGUUUAAUAUGACAAAUAUAGAAAAAAGUAAAAUAUUUAGUGAGCUAUAAAAUCUCAGCAUAUAAAAUUAAACAAUUUACAAUUGUAAGAUUUAGUAAUAAAUUGAAAUCUGAUUAAAUAUUGUGCCAGCAGUCGCGGUUAGACUUAAAGGUUAAGUAAAGGAUUAUAAGGUUAAAUUAAAUAUAUAGUUAUUAAAAAGUUGAAAAAGUAAAAGGUGAAAUUAAGCUGCUUUAUUCGAUGAAUAUAUUUUAACUUAAAUUGAAGUUAAAGAUUAUUAGAAAUAAACUAGGAUUAGAUACCCUAUUAUACUAAUAAAUAUAAUAAACCUAAAUUACUAAUAGAUAUGUUCUUUAAACUUGAAGAAUUUGGCGGUGAUUUAGUCUUGUUAGAGGAACCUGUUUUUGAAUCGAUACACCACGUAGAAUCUUACUCAUUUUAAUAAGUUUGUAUACCGUCAUUAUCAGAUAAUUUUUAAAGAAUAAAUUAUUAAGGUUUCAGAAGUAAUAAGCAAGUUAAAUUAGAUCAAGGUGCAGCUAAUAAAUGAGUUAAAAUGGGUUACAAUAAAUUUUAUUUAUUAUGGAUUAAUCACAAGAAAUGGUGUUAAGAAGGUGGAUUUAAUUGUAAAGUGAGUUAAAUAAGCUUAUUAGAUAUUAGCUCUAAAUCAUGUACAUAUCGCCCGUCGCUCUCAUUAUAUAGAUGAGAUAAGUCGUAACAUAGUAGAUUUACUGGAAAGUAAAUCUAGUUUGAA